UCAGAUGUGAAAUCCCCGGGGCUUUACCUGGGAACUGCAUCUGAAACUGUUAGGCUAGAGUAGGUGAGAGGGAAAGUAGAAUUUCAGGUGUAGCGGUGAAAUGCGUAGAGAUCUGAAGGAAUACCGAUGGCGAAGGCAGCUUCCUGGCAUCAUACUGACACUGAGGCUCGAAAGCGUGGGUAGCAAACAGGAUUAGAUACCCUGGUAGUCCACGCCGUAAACGAUGUCUACUAGUCGUUGGGUCCCUUGAGGACUUAGUGACGCAGCUAACGCAAUAAGUAGACCGCCUGGGGAGUACGGCCGCAAGGUUAAAACUCAAAUGAAUUGACGGGGGCCCGCACAAGCGGUGGAGCAUGUGGUUUAAUUCGAUGCAACGCGAAGAACCUUACCUGGUCUUGACAUAUCUAGAAUCCUGCAGAGAUGCGGGAGUGCCUUCGGGAAUUAGAAUACAGGUGCUGCAUGGCUGUCGUCAGCUCGUGUCGUGAGAUGUUGGGUUAAGUCCCGCAACGAGCGCAACCCUUGUCCUUAGUUACCAGCGGGUUAAGCCGGGAACUCUAAGGAUACUGCCAGUGACAAACUGGAGGAAGGCGGGGACGACGUCAAGUCAUCAUGGCCCUUACGACCAGGGCUACACACGUGCUACAAUGGUAGGUACAGAGGGCAGCUACACAGCGAUGUGAUGCGAAUCUCAAAAAGCCUAUCGUAGUCCAGAUUGGAGUCUGCAACUCGACUCCAUGAAGUAGGAAUCGCUAGUAAUCGCGGAUCAGAAUGCCGCGGUGAAUACGUUCCCGGGCCUUGUACACACCGCCCGUCACACCAUGGGAGUUGCUUGCACCAGAAGUGGAUAGUCUAACAGUCGUGGCAGCGUACCCCCUAGAGUGAUACG
rnacentral:rRNA from 1 species